rnacentral:rRNA from 1 species
CAGAGACUGCAAGCGUUAUUCGGAUUCACUGGGCGUAAAGGGUGCGCAGGCGGCCAUGUGUGUGAGGCGUGAAAGCCUGGAGCUUAACUCCAGAAUUGCACCUCAAACUACAUGGCUAGAGCAUUGGAGAGGGUAGCAGAAUUCAUGGUGUAGCAGUGAAAUGCGUAGAUAUCAUGAGGAAUACCAGAGGCGAAGGCGGCUACCUGGACAAUUGCUGACGCUCGGGCACGAAAGCGUGGGGAGCAAAAGGGAUUAGAUACCCCUGUAGUCCACGCCCUAAACGGUGCACACUAGGUCUUGGCGGAUUCGACCCCACCAGGGCCCAAGCUAACGCGUUAAGUGUGCCGCCUGAGGACUACGGUCGCAAGACUA